AAGGGGUGGGGGCAGGUGAGAGGAGGCCUGUCUAAGGGGAAGAAGAAUUGAGCAGCCUGUUUCCUUGAGCUUGAAGAGUUAAUGUUAACUUCUGGGACAGGGAGCCCCUACUUCUCUCCCCCAUCUCUCCCUGCUCCUGUGGGCUGCCCCCUUCUCUUCUCCUACUGGGACAGGCCGUUCUGGUAGCGAUCACAUGCCUGGGGGUUGUUUUGGUGUCUUCUUUUAUAAUGAAUGAGCUCAGAGUAGGUUUUAUUUUAUUUUGAUAAAUAUUGAGCUGGAAAAUUGCUGAAACUUCAUUUCAACUGGCAGCCAUUUUUUUCCAAGUUCAAUUCAGAUUCAAGUUCGCUGAGGAAGAGGAAAAAUGAUGUUUUAAGUCUGAUUCCCAUUCAGUUAAGCAUAUCGGUUCGACCUGGUUCUCUGAUUCUGUUCUGGUGUGAGUCCAGGCUGAGGAAUCAUGUCCAUGUGUCGCUCCAGAUUGUCCCAUCUUCCAGGGGACAGGGAAUGGAAAUGGCUGUGAUGGAGCCACCUGAGAUGCCGGUGACCUUCGAGGAGGUGGCUGUGUAUU